AACAACAACAGCGGAACACAAUGCUGCGGACACAUAUUUAUUUCCUCUCUUCCAAGAGUUACAUAAGUUUCACAGUCGUCUAUUUGUACAGGAUCUCGUCUUUUGGAGAAGCCGACAGUAGACAACCACUUGCUAGCAAGUGAAAGCAUUGUGGAUCGGUCCAAGCGUUUGUGCGACCUUGAGCCUCAAGGUUUCUCCUUCCUACACCGAUGGCCUGCAUUUUAUACAUUGCGCGUACAAUCGUGCGAAUGAGAAUGAAAUAAAUCUUAUAAAUAUCUGGAGAGUUAUCAGUAAUUAUAAGAAAAUGUAAAAUCUCCUCGACACGUCCAAUAGCAUGAGCCGACAAAUACGGCAACAGUUUCUUGCCGCCUUACGACUGACUGGAUUCUAUGGCUGUGAAAUGGAUUUCUGCCUCGUCAUCGUCAUACACUGGUUGCUCACACCGCCGGUUGUUGCGUAAUUGCUCGCAAUAAUGUAGCAGGGGCAACCAAUACAUACUGCCGGACUCCAAUAAUAUCUAUCGUCUCUUCUUGUGUUUCAACGACUCUGAGGAUAUGUGUGAAUAAAUGUGUUUACAUGACAAAUGUCACGAUAAGAUACUAAAAUUUGUCCACGAUAAGAUGUUAAAAUUUUUGAUAACAGCGCGCAAUAACGAUCGCUUUAGGCUUUCGUUUAGAUGAUCGUUAUCUAUCUCGCUACCCUAACACGCGUUUGAAAAGAGUAAUAAGUUUCGUGUAUCUUAAAACUUUUAUACUUCGCAUGACUAGAUGUGACGCUGUAAUUAAGAAAAUGAAGUGUAAUGAUGACAAGGCGAAGUAUAUAGUAGUGCCGUUGACUUUAUGUAAUUCGCGACUCGACGUUGCCAUAUUAUAUUCUUUCAACAUUUGCUGGAUGAAUAUUGAUCUUGUUAGCUUUUCAUCGUGAACACCAUCUACAAGCGUAUAAACUGUAA